AUUGAACGCUGGCGGCAGGCCUAACACAUGCAAGUCGAACGAGUGGCGGACGGGUGAGUAAUGUCUGGGAAACUGCCUGAUGGAGGGGGAUAACUACUGGAAACGGUAGCUAAUACCGCAUACCAUCAGAUGUGCCCAGAUGGGAUUAGCUAGUUGGUGGGGUAACGGCUCACCAAGGCGACGAUCCCUAGCUGGUCUGCGAGGAUGACCAGCAACACGGGAACUGAGACACGGUCCAGACUCCUACGGGAGGCAGAAGUGGGGAAGAUUGCACAGUGGGCGAAAGCCUGAGGCAGCCAGGCCGCGUGUAUGAAGAAGGCCUUCGGGUUGGAAAGUACUGUAAGCGGGGAGGCGUUACCCGAAGAAGAAGCACCGGCUAACGCCGUGCCAGCAGCCGCGGUAAUAC
rnacentral:rRNA from 1 species